UAGGGUAUAGCGUAAAGGUUAACGCGUUUGUCUUGGGCACAAGAGAGUAUAGGUUCGAAUCCUGUUAUCCUAA
rnacentral:tRNA from 1 species